GUGGGUGGGAUGAGUAUUCUAAGGCGCGUGGAAGAACCCUGGUUAAGGAACUCUGCAAACUAGCACCGUAUCUUCGGUAUAAGGUGUGCCUACUUUUGUAUAUGAACUUGCUUCAAAAAGCGAAAGAGGUUGCAACAAAGAGUCCCUCCCGACUGUUUACCAAAAACACAGCACUUUGCUAACACGUAAGUGGAUGUAUAAGGUGUGACGCCUGCCCGGUGCUCGAAGGUUAACUGAUGAUGUCAGCGCAAG
rnacentral:rRNA from 1 species